UGGGGAAUAUUGCGCAAUGGGCGAAAGCUUGACGCAGCAACGCCGCGUGAGUGAUGAAGGCCUUCGGGUCGUAAGGCUCUGUCGGGAGGAACGAAUGCUCCUGAGGUUAACAGCCUCGGGAGGUGACGGUACCUUCAAAGGAAGCACCGGCUAACUCCGUGCCAGCAGCCGCGGUAAUACGGAGGGGGCAAGCGUUGUUCGGAAUUACUGGGCGUAAAGGGCGCGUAGGCGGCCUGUUAAGUCGAACGUGAAAUCCCCGGGCUCAACCCGGGAACUGCGUCCGAAACUGGCAGGCUUGAAUUCGGGAGAGGGAUGCGGAAUUCCAGGUGUAGCGGUGAAAUGCGUAGAUAUCUGGAGGAACAUCGGUGGCGAAGGCGGCAUCCUGGACCGAUAUUGACGCUGAGGCGCGAAAGCCAGGGGAGCAAA
rnacentral:rRNA from 1 species